UGGGGAAUAUUGGACAAUGGGCGAAAGCCUGAUCCAGCCAUGCCGCGUGUGUGAAGAAGGUCUUCGGAUUGUAAAGCACUUUAAGUUGGGAGGAAGGGCAGUAAGCGAAUACCUUGCUGUUUUGAUAUUACCGACAGAAUAAGCACCGGCUAACUCUGUGCCAGCAGCCGCGGUAAUACAGAGGGUGCAAGCGUUAAUCGGAAUUACUGGGCGUAAAGCGCGCGUAGGUGGUUCGUUAAGUUGAAUGUGAAAGCCCCGGGCUCAACCUGGGAACUGCAUCCAAAACUGGCGAGCUAGAGUAGGGCAGAGGGUGGUGGAAUUUCCUGUGUAGCGGUGAAAUGCGUAGAUAUAGGAAGGAACACCAGUGGCGAAGGCGACCACCUGGGCUCAUACUGACACUGAGGUGCGAAAGCGUGGGGAGCAAACAGG
rnacentral:rRNA from 1 species